rnacentral:lncRNA from 1 species
AAUAUAAAUAACAUGCUUGAGUGACAAAGAAAUUCUGUGUAGCACUAGUUCCUUGAAUUUUUAUAUUGAUUUCUUUUUUGUGCUCUGGCUUUCUUGGAUCAAUCUUUACUUAUAGGACAGUUCUGAGAUGAAUGGAAGACAUAAUCUUCUAGAAGCAGUAUGAGAUUAUACUUAGCAUUAGCAAACUGAUGGAAAAGACAAGGCUAGCACCAGGGAAGGUGUUGCACGUUCUUCUCAAGACUUCAGACCAGAAGUAGUGAGAAAAAGAAGAAAGGGAAGAGUAGCAUGAUUAACGAGGGGGCUUUCUUAAUAAUAUUGAAACCAAAACAGCUGCAGGUGGUAGGCAAGCAAAAAUAGUGCAUUCCUGGCCAUUUUAGCAUACAAGGGUGCAUGAUCAAGGC